rnacentral:rRNA from 1 species
CUACGGGAGGCAGCAGUGGGGAAUAUUGCACAAUGGGCGCAAGCCUGAUGCAGCCAUGCCGCGUGUAUGAAGAAGGCCUUCGGGUUGUAAAGUACUUUCAGCGGGGAGGAAGGGAGUAAAGUUAAUACCUUUGCUCAUUGACGUUACCCGCAGAAGAAGCACCGGCUAACUCCGUGCCAGCAGCCGCGGUAAUACGGAGGGUGCAAGCGUUAAUCGGAAUUACUGGGUGUAAAGCGCACGCAGGCGGUGUGUUAAGUCAGAUGUGAAAUCCCCGGGCUCAACCGGGGAACUGCAUCUGAUACUGGCAAGCUUGAGUCUCGUAGAGGGGGGUAGAAUUCCAGGUGUAGCGGUGAAAUGCGUAGAGAUCUGGAGGAAUACCGGUGGCGAAGGCGGCCCCCUGGACGAAGACUGACGCUCAGGUGCGAAAGCGUGGGGAGCAAACAGGAUUAGAUACCCCGGUAGUC